rnacentral:lncRNA from 1 species
AUCAUAUCCAGUGGGGGUGACUGAAACUACCUUAUGCCUGGGUCAUUUUGUAGUGAGACUGUGCCCUAUACAUGAACCUAUUUGCCAGACCCAUCAAGUGAAUUCCGUGAUUCUUAUGAAAAAUGCCAUUAGACCUGUGAGAGGGGCUGUGACAGUGGAACCCGAAUGAAGACAGGAAAAGUCUGUAGAGGACUGAUGGUUAUGUUCACCAUUCAAAUUGCAAGAAAACCAAUAAGAAGUCAGUAAAGUG